rnacentral:rRNA from 1 species
CGGCGUGCCUAACACAUGCAAGUCGAACGGAGAUGCGAUGUGAGCGAGAGGUGCUUGCACUGAUUAAUCUUUUCGUAUCUUAGUGGCGGACGGGUGAGUAACGCGUGGGUAACCUGCCUUAUACCGGGGGAUAACAGCCAGAAAUGGCUGCUAAUACCGCAUAAGCGCACAGAACCGCAUGGUUCCGUGUGAAAAACUCCGGUGGUAUAAGAUGGACCCGCGUCUGAUUAGCUAGUUGGUGAGGUAACGGCCCACCAAGGCGACGAUCAGUAGCCGGCCUGAGAGGGUGAACGGCCACAUUGGGACUGAGACACGGCCCAAACUCCUACGGGAGGCAGCAGUGGGGAAUAUUGCACAAUGGGGGAAACCCUGAUGCAGCGACGCCGCGUGAGUGAUGAAGUAUUUCGGUAUGUAAAACUCUAUCAGCAGGGAAGAUAAUGACGGUACCUGACUAAGAAGCACCGGCUAAAUACGUG